rnacentral:rRNA from 1 species
AUUGAACGCUGGCGGCAGGCCUAACACAUGCAAGUCGAGCGGAUGAAGGGAGCUUGCUCCUGGAUUCAGCGGCGGACGGGUGAGUAAUGCCUAGGAAUCUGCCUGGUAGUGGGGGAUAACGUCCGGAAACGGGCGCUAAUACCGCAUACGUCCUGAGGGAGAAAGUGGGGGAUCUUCGGACCUCACGCUAUCAGAUGAGCCUAGGUCGGAUUAGCUAGCUGGUGGGGUAAAGGCCUACCAAGGCGACGAUCCGUAACUGGUCUGAGAGGUUGAUCAGUCACACUGGAACUGAGACACGGUCCAGACUCCUACGGGAGGCAGCAGUGGGGAAUAUUGGACAAUGGGCGAAAGCCUUAUCCAGCCAUGCCGCGUGUGUUAAGAAGGUCUUCGGAUUGUAAAGCACUUUAAGUUGGGAGGAAGGGCAGUAAGUUAAUACCUUGCUGUUUUGACGUUACCAACAGAAUAAGCACCGGCUAACUUCGUG